rnacentral:rRNA from 1 species
CUACGGGAGGCAGCAGUGAGGAAUAUUGCACAAUGGGGGAACCCUGAUGCAGCAACGCCGCGUGGAGGAUGACGCAUUUCGGUGUGUAAACUCCUUUUAUAUGUCAAGAAAAUGACGGUAGCAUAUGAAUAAGCACCGGCUAACUCCGUGCCAGCAGCCGCGGUAAUACGGAGGGUGGCAAGCGUUACUCGGAAUCACUGGGCGUAAAGGACGCGUAGGCGGGUUGGAAAGUCAGGUGUGAAAGCCUACAGCUUAACUGUAGAACUGCACUUGAAACUUCUAAUCUAGAGUAUGGGAGGGGGAGAUGGAAUUAGUGGUGUAGGGGUAAAAUCCGUAGAUAUCACUAGGAAUACCUAAAGCGAAGGCGAUCUCCUGGAACAUUACUGACGCUAAGGCGUGAAAGCGUGGGGAGCAAACAGGAUUAGAUACCCGAGUAGUC